rnacentral:lncRNA from 1 species
UCGAUUCAUUUUUCUCAUUAUGAAUCAUCGUCAUUCCCCCUUUCUUUGGAACCAUUUGAACUGGACUUACCCAUUUACUAUCAGAGAUUGGAUAAAUGAUUCCUGCUUCUAAUAACUUCAACACUUCCUUUCUCACAACUUCCUUCAUAAUAGGAUUCAGUCUCCUCUACGGCUGAGCCACCGGCCCAUAAUCAUUCUCCAUAAGAAUUUUGUGCAUACAAUAUGUGGGGCUUAUACCCUUAAGAUCUGCAAUUGACCAGCCUAUAACACCCUUAUUUGCUUUUAAAACUUCCACCAACUUCUCUUCUUCUAGAGAUAAUGAAGUACUAAUAAUAACUGGCUUUCCACCAUUAUCUUCUAGAAAUACAUAUUUUAAAUGUGGUGGUAGCUCCUUCAAUUCAAGCUUAGUCUCUUUCACUUUCUCUUUGGGGUCAAUUUUUUCAAAACUAGCCUUCUCUGUUGACAUUUCCUUUGUUGCCUCCAAGUCACGAACGCAUUCUUCAAUCAUUUUAUCCUCCUCU